rnacentral:rRNA from 1 species
UACGUAGGGGGCUAGCGUUGUCCGGAAUCAUUGGGCGUAAAGAGCGUGUAGGCGGCCCGGUAAGUCCGCUGUGAAAGUCGGGGGCUCAACCCUCGAAUGCCGGUGGAUACUGUCGGGCUAGAGUGCGGAAGAGGCGAGUGGAAUUCCUGGUGUAGCGGUGAAAUGCGUAGAGAUCUGGAAGAACACCAAAGGCGAAGGCAGCGUCCUGGGAAGUGACUGACGCUCAUGUGCGAAAGCUAGGGGAGCGAACAGG